UCCAUCCAACCAAUACACACACACUGCACUGGACACAUGCUUCUUUCUUUCUUUGUCUUCUCUCUUCCUGCCUCUCCCUCCCCCUCUCUCUCUCUCCCCAGUCUGCGCAAACAGAAAGACAGAAAGAGAAGACACAGUCCUCCCCUUCCCCAUUGGCCGGCAUGGCCAUGGAUGGAUUUCCCAAUCCCCAGCCAGCCACAUCUCCUCUCAAAAACCGAACCCUACUCACACACAAACACCAUUGUUUCCCCAUCUAGAUCCGGCCCCGGCCAUGGAUGGAUGGCUCCGGCUCUGUCCUCGAGCUGAGUUGGAGAAGAAGCCUUCAGGAGCUGGAGGCAGCCAUGGGACCAGGAGGGAGGAGAUCAGUCAAGGAUUCAUCCAUCCAUCUCCAACUUUGCCGGCCAGCAUAUGUCAAAAUAUAUUAGAUUGGCCUUUUUUCUAUAAACUACACUGGAAGAUACCGAUCUAGCAAAUGAAUGUGUUUAGCAAAUCUGAAGCUUCUUCAGGAUAUCUUUAUGUAAAUGGAGGAAACAAACUAACAAACUGUACCAGAAGAAACCUAGUUUCCUUGUCAGAACAGUGGAAACGGUGCCUUCUUUAUUGUGAAUCGCAUCAUCUGAUGAAUGCCAGGUAUGGCACACUGCUGACAAUGUAAUUUCGGCCAUAUUGUAUGUAUGCUUCAGUGGA